UACGUAGGGGGCAAGCGUUGUCCGGAUUUAUUGGGCGUAAAGAGCGUGUAGGCGGUCAGGUAGGUCCGUUGUGAAAACUCGAGGCUCAACCUCGAGACGCCGAUGGAAACCAUCUGACUAGAGUCCGGAAGAGGAGAUUGGAAUUCCUGGUGUAGCGGUGGAAUGCGCAGAUAUCAGGAGGAACACCAAUGGCGAAGGCAGAUCUCUGGGCCGUAACUGACGCUGAGGAGCGAAAGCAUGGGGGAGCGAACAGG
rnacentral:rRNA from 1 species